rnacentral:rRNA from 1 species
UCUUUAUCACCGAGUGCUUGCACUCACCGAUAAAGAGUUGAGUGGCGAACGGGUGAGUAACACGUGGGCAACCUGCCCAAAAGAGGGGGAUAACACUUGGAAACAGGUGCUAAUACCGCAUAACCAUAGUUACCGCAUGGUAACUAUGUAAAAGGUGGCUAUGCUACCGCUUUUGGAUGGGCCCGCGGCGCAUUAGCUAGUUGGUGGGGUAAAGGCUUACCAAGGCAAUGAUGCGUAGCCGAACUGAGAGGUUGAUCGGCCACAUUGGGACUGAGACACGGCCCAAACUCCUACGGGAGGCAGCAGUAGGGAAUCUUCCACAAUGGGCGAAAGCCUGAUGGAGCAACGCCGCGUGGGUGAAGAAGGUCUUCGGACCGUAAAACCCUGUUGUUAGAGAAGAAAGUGCGUGAGAGUAACUGUUCACGUUUCGACGGUAUCUAACCAGAAAGCCACGGCUAACUACGUGCCAGCAGCCGCGGCAAUACGUUGGUGGCAAGCGUUAUCCGGAUUUAUUGGGCGUAAAGGGAACGCAGGCGGUCUUUUAAGUCUGAUGUGAAAGCCUUCGGCUUAACCGGAGUAGUGCAUUGGAAACUGGGAGACUUGAGUGCAGAAGAGGAGAGUGGAACUCCAUGUGUAGCGGUGAAAUGCGUAGAUAUAUGGAAGAACACCAGUGGCGAAAGCGGCUCUCUGGUCUGUAACUGACGCUGAGGUUCGAAAGCGUGGGUAGCAAACAGGGUUAGAUACCCUGGUAGUCCACGCCGU